UAAAUUUUGCCAUAUUGUACCAGUUUCCAGAAAAUAAUAUUAGUACUCAAGUUCAAAGUGGUACAACUUUAUGUAGUUGUUUUAAGUGUACAAAUAUGGUAUUGUCUCAAGAUUCAAGAUUUGUCCAAAUGAAUCACUAUCUUGAAAGAUUGAACAAAAAACAAGUAAUGGAUUUGUUAUGUUUUUAUUUAGUUAUAUGUCAAUUUUAAAUGCUGGAGCUAUUUUAUAGUGUGCACACACAAGCUGCUAUCAUCUGCUGGAAAAAUUCAUUGAAGUUGAUUGAGGGGACCAAAUAAAAGAUUGUUCUUGGAGCUGAAAUUAACAAAACAAGAAAGGGACAUAUAAUCAUGGAUGUCUGGCUGGUUUUUUGUGGGAAGUAUGAAUGUUCUCAGAAGGCUGGAGAGAGUUGCAGUUCAACUUUUCUUGAUCCAUUUUCAUGCACCAGUCACAUAUUGGUCAUUUUUACAAAUAUCCUGCUUCUAAUGAUUCUUGUUUUCCUCUUUUCUACCAAGUUCUCAUCAAGAAAGAGUGUGUCGUCCUCUGAGUUCCAAGGCAAUUUUAUCUUGUCAAGUUUUUCCUACAUUUUCAAUGGCGGUUUAGCAUUAGUAUACUUGAGUUUUGGGACAUGGAAAGUUUUGCAGAAAGUCAUCACGGAACAAACUGUUCUACCUCUAUUUCAAUGGCUAGUUCCGUUGUCACAAGGGCUCACGUGGUUGCUUCUAAGUUUACUUCCCAUUUACAAGAAGCAGUAUACUUCUUCACCGGGGAAGCUGUGUGUUUUUCUUGCAAGCUUACUAGCAGCAUUUCUUUGCAUUUCAUCCGUAUGGCAAGUAAUCCUAGAGAAUGUAGUGUACACAAAAUCGGUCUUGGAUGUGUUACCACUACUAGGAGCGAUUCUAAUGAUCAUUUCCGUGUCCAAAGGCCAAAGGAAAUUAAGCACUUGUGAAACUCUUCUGGGAGAAGAAGCCAAUAAUGUCUCUGGUAAAGUUGAAUCGAAAGAGAAUACAACGCCAUUUGCCAAAGCUGGAAUAUUUAGCAGAAUGUCAUUUUGCUGGUUGAAUGAUUUACUGAAGAAGGGCAAGGAUAAAACUCUCAAUGAUGAGGACAUUCCAGAGUUGAGGCUGGAGGAUCAAGCUGGGACGUUGUACUCGUCGUUUAAGGAGCAAGUAAAUAAAAGAAAGCAAAAAACUUCAUAUGCUCGGCCUUCUGUAUUUUCAGCGAUAGUCUGCUGUCAAUGGAAAGUCAUUGUGGUAUCUGGAUUGUUCGCACUGAUUAAGACGGUGACUGUGUCAAUAGGGCCCUUGUUUCUUUAUGCCUUCAUUGAAGUUGCCAAAGGAAAUGGAGCUUUCAAAUAUGAAGGUUAUGUGCUGGCUGGGGGAAUCCUUAUUGCUAAAUGCAUAGAAUCAUUAGCAGAGAGGCAAUGGUUUUUCAGGACUAGAUUAAUCGGCCUUCAAGUUAAAUCCUUGUUAACUGCAGCUAUAUACGAUAAGCAACUCCGCCUUUCAAACACUGCUAAGAACACUCAUUCACCUGGUGAGAUAAUAAACUAUGCUACGGUUGAUACCUUUAAAGUUGGUGAAUUUCCAUAUUGGUUUCAUCAAAUAUGGACAACGGGCGUUCAGAUAUGCAUUGCAUUAGUCAUAAUGUAUUAUGCUGUGGGACUGGCUACCGUACCAGCUCUACUAUUAGUUGUAGCAAGUGUGCUAGGAAAUUCUCCGGUUGCCAAAUCACAGCACAAGUACUUGACAGAGCUUAUGGUUGCACAAGACAGAAUGCUAAGGGCCAUAACGGAAGCCAUUACUAGUAUGAAAGUGUUGAAGUUGUACGCGUGGGAGAAACAUUUUAAGAAUGCAAUUGAAAAGCUAAGAGAAGAAGAAUACCGAUGGUUAUCAGUAGUGCAGAUGCAGAAAGGCUAUUACCUGGUUUUGUUUUGGUCAACGCCAAUCAUAGUAUCCGCGGUUACUUUUUGGUCUUGCUACUUACUCAAAGUCCCUCUUAAUACCACUAAUGUCUUCACAUUCCUUGCCACUUUACGCAUUGUUCAGGAACCUAUUAGGUCAGUUCCUGAUAUUCUUGGAGUAUUCAUAGAAGCAAAAGUCUCUUUAUCUCGAAUUGUGGAAUUUCUUGAGGCUCCUGAGUUGCAAAACAGACGUAUUGAGCAGAAGUACCAGGGGAAGGAACUUGAGCAUUCUAUAAUCAUCAAGUCCAAUCGGAUAUCAUGGGAUGCAAGUUCACAUAAUCCUGCUUUGAAAAGUAUAAACCUUCAAGUCAAACAAGGUCAAAAGUUAGCUAUCUGUGGAGAGGUUGGUUCUGGUAAAUCAACUCUUUUAGCUGCAAUCCUCGGAGAGGUUCCGUACGUUGAUGGUUUGGUUCAAGUUCAUGGAACGGUGGCAUACGUUUCUCAGAAUGCAUGGAUUCAGACAGGAACAAUAAGGGAGAACAUUCUUUUUGGUUCCACCAUGGAUCAGAUCAAAUACCAAGAAGUACUUGAAAUAUGUUCUCUUGUCAAGGACAUUGAAAUGCUUCCUUUUGGUGACCAAACGAUUAUUGGAGAAAGAGGUGUUAACCUCAGUGGCGGACAGAAGCAGCGAGUUCAGCUGGCACGUGCACUGUAUCAAGAUGCAGACAUAUAUCUAUUGGACGAUCCAUUUAGUGCAGUUGAUGCACAUACCUCAACCUGUCUGUUUAAUGAAUAUGUCAUGGGAGCUCUUUCUGGAAAGACAGUCUGGCUUGUGACUCAUCAAGUAGAUUUCCUUCCUACAUUUGAUUCAAUAUUGCUAAUGUCUGAAGGAAACAUCAUACAGUCAGAUUCCUUUGAUCAGUUGCUUAUUUCUUGUGAAGAGUUUCAAAACCUCAUUUAUGCACAUGGUGAGGCAACAAAAAGUGAGUGUAGUGGAGGGUGUUCUCCACAAAAAAGGACCAAAAGCUCCAUAGAGAAUAUUCGUCCAUUAUGUGCAGAAGAACAGCUAAGAACACCUGUUGGUGAGCAGUUGAUCAAACACGAAGAACGAGAAAUAGGAUACACCGGUCUUAAGCCGUAUAAACAAUAUCUUGGCGAAAGCAAUGGCCUUUUUUACCUCCUUAUGGCUAUAUUUUCACACCUCCUAUAUAUGGUUGGCCAGCUUGGACAAAAUCUUUUGUUAGCUGCUGAUUUACAGAGUUCAAGAACCAGCAAAUUGAAUCUCAUCCUAAUAUACUCAUCCAUAGGUUUUGGUAUGUCAGUAACAUUGUUCUUUAGGUCCUAUGUAGUGAUUGAUUUAGGCCUCAAGUCUUCAAAAUCUUUUUUUGCUAAGUUACUAACAUCUAUAUUCCGAGCACCAAUGUCAUUCUACGACUCAACCCCACUCGGAAGAAUACUUAGUCGGUUCUCUUCAGACCUCAGUGUUUUGGAUCUUGACAUGUCAUUUCGAUUCAGUCAGGCCGUGUCCUCAACUUUGACCACAUACUUCAGCUUAGGAAUAUUGGCUUCUCUCACCUGGCCAAUCUUGAUUGUCAUUAUACCGACGAUUUAUAUGACAGUGAUUUUACAGAGAUUCUAUUUUGCUUCAGCAAAGGAACUCAUGAGAAUUGAUGGCACAACAAAGUCAGAAGUUGCUAGCCAUCUUGCUGAAGCCAUAGAGGGAGCAAUGACCAUCAGAGCUUUCGAGGAGGAGGAUCGUUUUUGCACAGAAUAUUUGCACCUUGUUGAUAGAAAUGCAAUUGCAUUUUUCCACAGCUUUUCAGCAACCGAAUGGUUGAUCCAACGUCUGGAAAUGCUCUGCGCCAUAGUUCUCUCGUCCUCAGCCUUAGCCAUGGUUUUACUUCCCUUCGAAGAUUCUGACUCAGGCUACAUUGGCAUGGCUCUAUCGUACGCUCUUUCCUUAAACAUAUUCCUAGUUUCUUCAGUCCAAAACCAAUGCAUGCUAGAAAAUUCCAUCAUUUCAGUAGAAAGACUAGAGCAAUACAUGCAUAUUCCUAGCGAAUGCCCUGAAAUUAUCCAAGGAAAUAGACCUGAUCCCUCUUGGCCUUCCACUGGUAAAGUGGAGAUUGUUGAUUUAAAGGUUAGAUAUCAAUCGAACGCUCCACUAGUUCUACAAGGCAUUAGCUGCAUAAUUGAAGGUGGAUAUAAAGUUGGAAUUGUUGGCAGGACAGGUAGUGGCAAAACAACUCUUAUUAGUGUCUUGUUUCGCUUGGUAGAGCCAACAGAAGGAAUGAUCAUCAUAGAUGGCCUAAACAUUUCAACAAUCGGAAUUCAUGAUCUUCGAUCUUCUUUAUCAAUCAUUCCACAAGAUCCAACACUUUUCAGCGGGACUGUUAGAUACAAUCUUGAUCCAUUGUCAGAGCACACUGAUCAAGAGAUAUGGGAGGUUUUGAGGAAAUGUCAACUUCGAGAUGUCGUUCAACAGAAAGAAGGAAGAUUAGACUCCUCAGUGUCACAAGAUGGAUCAAAUUGGAGCAUGGGGCAAAGACAAUUAUUUUGUCUUGGAAGAGCAUUAUUGAAAAGAAGAAAAAUAUUUGUUCUUGAUGAAGCAACAGCAUCAAUUGACAAUGCAACAGAUUCAACAAUUCAAAAAACAAUAAGGACAGAAUUUGAAGAUUGCACAGUGAUAACAGUAGCUCACAGAAUCCCAACAGUCAUGGAUUGCACUAUGGUUCUUGCUAUAAGUGAUGGGAAGCUGGUAGAAUAUGAUAAGCCAAUGAAACUUAUGAAUAAUCAAAAUUCAUUAUUUGGGCAGCUUGUUAAUGAAUAUUGGUCACGUUCUCAAAAUGUUGACAUACAAAUUAAUUCAAUAUGAGUAGCCAAUAUGGAAUUCAUGAAUAAGAAUUUAAGUAAUAUGUAUUUAAUUUGCGCUUAUAUGGUUUGAUAUAUUUUUU